AGAGUGAACGCUGGCGGCAGGCCUAACACAUGCAAGUCGAACGAACACUUCGGUGUUAGUGGCGCACGGGUGCGUAACGCGUGGGAAUCUGCCCUUGGGUUCGGAAUAACAGUUGGAAACGACUGCUAAUACCGGAUGAUAUCGAAAGAUCAAAGAUUUAUCGCCCAGGGAUGAGCCCGCGUAGGAUUAGCUAGUUGGUGAGGUAAGGGCUCACCAAGGCGACGAUCCUUAGCUGGUCUGAGAGGAUGAUCAGCCACACCGGGACUGAGACACGGCCCAGACUCCUACGGGAGCAGCAGUAGGAAUAGUGGACAAGUGGGCGCAAGCCUGAUCCAGCAAUCGCCGCGUGAGUGAUGAAGGCCGUUAGGGUUAGUAAAGCUUCCUUUUACCCGAGAU
rnacentral:rRNA from 1 species